rnacentral:piRNA from 1 species
UUAAUUUUAGCUUUUGUAAUU